rnacentral:rRNA from 1 species
ACAGGUGCUGCAUGGCUGUCGUCAGCUCGUGUCGUGAGAUGUUGGGUUAAGUCCCGCAACGAGCGCAACCCUUGCCUUUAGUUGCCAGCAGUUCGGCUGGCACUCUAAAGGGACUGCCGGUGUUAAACCGGAGGAAGGUGGGGAUGACGUCAAGUCCUCAUGGCCUUUAUGACCAGGGCUACACACGUACUACAAUGGCCGAUACAAGGGGCAGCGACACUGCGAGGUGAAGCCAAUCCCGUAAAAUCGGUCUCAGUCCGGAUUGGAGUCUGCAACUCGACUCCAUGAAGUUGGAAUCGCUAGUAAUCGUGGAUCAGCAUGCCACGGUGAAUACGUUCCCGGGCCUU